CGAAGAUACAAACGUUCACUUAUAACUACUAUGUUAAACCGUGCAUUCCGUUUGUCGUCAUUCAUGGGAACACUUUGUCGAGGAAUGUGAGCGUUUGAAGAACGUUUUCGUCCAUCUCAAAUAUCCACUUGGACUUGUUGAUUCGGUAAUAUCGGGGUUUGUCGACAAGCAGUACGAGGAGGUGAAGGAAACAUCAACGAAACAGCAAGAAAACGUGGUGUGCCUUAUCUUGCCGUUUAAAGAUCAAAAAUCGGCCAAUAUUGUGCGAAGACAACUCACGGGUCUUGGAUCGUUGAUAGGGAAAGCUCUACGACCGGUUUUCACAAGCAGAAAGGUUCACGAUGAUGUUAAAGUACAGGAACUGAAGCCGCCCCUUGUGAAUCAUCAAUGCGUUGUUUACAAAUUUAAAUGUGAUCUGUGCGGUGCAGAUUAUGUUGGCUAUACUUGUCGACACCUACAUCAACGCAUUGAUGAACACAGGGGAUCAGUGGUAGGAAUCCAUAUGCGUGAUAAUCAUGGAGAGAGCUCAUCAAGGAUUGAAAACUGCUUUUCGAUUCUGCGCAAGUGUCGAGAGAAGUACGAGUGCCUUCUCUACGAGAUGCUUUACAUUAGGG